UUAAGCGACUAAGCGUACACGGUGGAUGCCCUGGCAGUCAGAGGCGAUGAAGGACGUGCUAAUCUGCGAUAAGCGUCGGUGAGGUGAUAUGAACCGUUAUAACCGGCGAUUUCCGAAUGGGGAAACCCAGUGUGUUUCGACACACUAUCAUUAACUGAAUCCAUAGGUUAAUGAGGCGAACCGGGGGAACUGAAACAUCUAAGUACCCCGAGGAAAAGAAAUCAACCGAGAUUCCCCAGUAGCGGCGAGCGAACGGGGAGGAGCCCAGAGCCUGAAUCAGUGUGUGUGUUAGUGGAAGCGUCUGGAAAGGCGCGCGAUACAGGGUGACAGCCCCGUACACAAAAAUGCACAUAUUGUGAGCUCGAUGAGUAGGGCGGGACACGUGGUAUCCUGUCUGAAUAUGGGGGGACCAUCCUCCAAGGCUAAAUACUCCUGACUGACCGAUAGUGAACCAGUACCGUGAGGGAAAGGCGAAAAGAACCCCGGCGAGGGAGUGAAAAAGAACCUGAAACCGUGUACGUACAAGCAGUGGGAGCCUCUUAAUGGGGUGACUGCGUACCUUUUGUAUAAUGGGUCAGCGACUUAUAUUCUGUAGCAAGGUUAACCGAAUAGGGGAGCCGAAGGGAAACCGAGUCUUAACUGGGCGUUAAGUUGCAGGGUAUAGACCCGAAACCCGGUGAUCUAGCCAUGGGCAGGUUGAAGGUUGGGUAACACUAACUGGAGGACCGAACCGACUAAUGUUGAAAAAUUAGCGGAUGACUUGUGGCUGGGGGUGAAAGGCCAAUCAAACCGGGAGAUAGCUGGUUCUCCCCGAAAGCUAUUUAGGUAGCGCCUCGUGAAUUCAUCUCCGGGGGUAGAGCACUGUUUCGGCAAGGGGGUCAUCCCGACUUACCAACCCGAUGCAAACUGCGAAUACCGGAGAAUGUUAUCACGGGAGACACACGGCGGGUGCUAACGUCCGUCGUGAAGAGGGAAACAACCCAGACCGCCAGCUAAGGUCCCAAAGUCAUGGUUAAGUGGGAAACGAUGUGGGAAGGCCCAGACAGCCAGGAUGUUGGCUUAGAAGCAGCCAUCAUUUAAAGAAAGCGUAAUAGCUCACUGGUCGAGUCGGCCUGCGCGGAAGAUGUAACGGGGCUAAACCAUGCACCGAAGCUGCGGCAGCGACGCUUAUGCGUUGUUGGGUAGGGGAGCGUUCUGUAAGCCUGUGAAGGUGGCCUGUGAGGGUUGCUGGAGGUAUCAGAAGUGCGAAUGCUGACAUAAGUAACGAUAAAGCGGGUGAAAAGCCCGCUCGCCGGAAGACCAAGGGUUCCUGUCCAACGUUAAUCGGGGCAGGGUGAGUCGACCCCUAAGGCGAGGCCGAAAGGCGUAGUCGAUGGGAAACAGGUUAAUAUUCCUGUACUUGGUGUUACUGCGAAGGGGGGACGGAGAAGGCUAUGUUGGCCGGGCGACGGUUGUCCCGGUUUAAGCGUGUAGGCUGGUUUUCCAGGCAAAUCCGGAAAACCAAGGCUGAGGCGUGAUGACGAGGCACUACGGUGCUGAAGCGACAAAUGCCCUGCUUCCAGGAAAAGCCUCUAAGCAUCAGGUAACAUCAAAUCGUACCCCAAACCGACACAGGUGGUCAGGUAGAGAAUACCAAGGCGCUUGAGAGAACUCGGGUGAAGGAACUAGGCAAAAUGGUGCCGUAACUUCGGGAGAAGGCACGCUGAUAUGUAGGUGAAGCGACUUGCUCGUGGAGCUGAAAUCAGUCGAAGAUACCAGCUGGCUGCAACUGUUUAUUAAAAACACAGCACUGUGCAAACACGAAAGUGGACGUAUACGGUGUGACGCCUGCCCGGUGCCGGAAGGUUAAUUGAUGGGGUUAGCGGUAACGCGAAGCUCUUGAUCGAAGCCCCGGUAAACGGCGGCCGUAACUAUAACGGUCCUAAGGUAGCGAAAUUCCUUGUCGGGUAAGUUCCGACCUGCACGAAUGGCGUAAUGAUGGCCAGGCUGUCUCCACCCGAGACUCAGUGAAAUUGAACUCGCUGUGAAGAUGCAGUGUACCCGCGGCAAGACGGAAAGACCCCGUGAACCUUUACUAUAGCUUGACACUGAACAUUGAGCCUUGAUGUGUAGGAUAGGUGGGAGGCUUUGAAGUGUGGACGCCAGUCUGCAUGGAGCCGACCUUGAAAUACCACCCUUUAAUGUUUGAUGUUCUAACGUGGGCCCCUAAUCGGGGUUGCGGACAGUGUCUGGUGGGUAGUUUGACUGGGGCGGUCUCCUCCUAAAGAGUAACGGAGGAGCACGAAGGUUGGCUAAUCCUGGUCGGACAUCAGGAGGUUAGUGCAAUGGCAUAAGCCAGCUUGACUGCGAGCGUGACGGCGCGAGCAGGUGCGAAAGCAGGUCAUAGUGAUCCGGUGGUUCUGAAUGGAAGGGCCAUCGCUCAACGGAUAAAAGGUACUCCGGGGAUAACAGGCUGAUACCGCCCAAGAGUUCAUAUCGACGGCGGUGUUUGGCACCUCGAUGUCGGCUCAUCACAUCCUGGGGCUGAAGUAGGUCCCAAGGGUAUGGCUGUUCGCCAUUUAAAGUGGUACGCGAGCUGGGUUUAGAACGUCGUGAGACAGUUCGGUCCCUAUCUGCCGUGGGCGCUGGAGAACUGAGGGGGGCUGCUCCUAGUACGAGAGGACCGGAGUGGACGCAUCACUGGUGUUCGGGUUGUCAUGCCAAUGGCACUGCCCGGUAGCUAAAUGCGGAAGAGAUAAGUGCUGAAAGCAUCUAAGCACGAAACUUGCCCCGAGAUGAGUUCUCCCUGAGACUUAGAGUCUCCUGAAGGAACGUUGAAGACGACGACGUUGAUAGGCCGGGUGUGUAAGCGCAGCGAUGCGUUGAGCUAACCGGUACUAAUGAACCGUGAGGCUUAACCU
rnacentral:rRNA from 1 species